AUUGAACGCUGGCGGCAUGCCUUACACAUGCAAGUCGAACGGUAACAGGUCUUCGGAUGCUGACGAGUGGCGAACGGGUGAGUAAUACAUCGGAACGUGCCCGAUCGUGGGGGAUAACGCAGCGAAAGCUGUGCUAAUACCGCAUACGAUCUACGGAUGAAAGCGGGGGACUCGCAAGGGCCUCGCGCGGACGGAGCGGCCGAUGGCAGAUUAGGUAGUUGGUGGGAUAAAAGCUUACCAAGCCGACGAUCUGUAGCUGGUCUGAGAGGACGACCAGCCACACUGGGACUGAGACACGGCCCAGACUCCUACGGGAGGCAGCAGCGGGGAAUUUUGGACAAUGGGGGAAACCCUGAUCCAGCCAUGCCGCGUGCAGGAUGAAGGCCUUCGGGUUGUAAACUGCUUUUGUACGGAACGAAAAGGUCCUUUCUAAUAAAGAGGGCUCAUGACGGUACCGUAAGAAUAAGCACCGGCUAACUACGUG
rnacentral:rRNA from 1 species